AUACCGCAUGUGUCCCCGGAAUCGCAUGGUUCCGGGAAGAAAGGUGGCCUCUCCUUGGAAGCUAUCGCUUAAGGAUGGUCCCGCGUCCCAUUAGCUUGUUGGUGGGGUAAUGGCCUACCAAGGCGACGAUGGGUAGCCGGCCUGAGAGGGUGUCCGGCCACACUGGGACUGAGAUACGGCCCAGACUCCUACGGGAGGCAGCAGUCGAGAAGCUUCGGCAAUGGGCGAAAGCCUGACCGAGCGACGCCGCGUGAGCGAUGAAGGUCCUAUGGAUUGUAAAGCUCUGUCAGAUUGGGAAGAAAACUUCGCGAUUAAUACCCGCGAAGCUUGACGGUACCAUCAGAGGAAGCACCGGCUAACUCCGUGCCAGCAGCCGCGGUAAUACGGAGGGUGCGAGCGUUGUUCGGAUUCACUGGGUAUAAAGGGUGCGUAGGCGGCCUCGUAAGUCAGGGGUGAAAUAUGACGGCUCAACCGUCAAACUGCCCCUGAAACUGCAAGGCUUGAGUCCGGGAGAGGAAGGUGGAAUUCCUGGUGUAGCGGUGAAAUGCGUAAAUAUCAGGAGGAACACCGGUGGCGAAGGCGGCCUUCUGGUCCGGUACUGACGCUGAGGCACGAAAGCUAGGGGAGCGAACAGGAUUAGAUACCCUGGUAGUCCUAGCCGUAAACGAUGGGCACUAGGUGUCGGAGGAGUCUACCCCUUCGGUGCCGCAGCUAAUGCAUUAAGUGCCCCACCUGGGGAGUACGAUCGCAAGGUUGAAACUCAAAGGAAUUGACGGGGGCCCGCACAAGCGGUGGAGCAUGUGGUUUAAUUCGAUGCAACGCGAAGAACCUUACCUGGGCUUGACAUGCAGGGGACAGGUGCAGAAAUGUACCCUUCUUCGGACCCCUGUGCAGGUGCUGCAUGGCUGUCGUCAGCUCGUGUCGUGAAAUGUUGGGUUAAGUCCCGCAACGAGCGCAACCCCUGUCUUCAGUUGCCAUCAGUUCGGCUGGGGACUCUGGAGAGACUGCCGGUGACAAACCGGAGGAAGGUGGGGACGACGUCAAGUCAUCAUGGCCCUUACGCCCAGGGCUACACACGUGCUACAAUGGUCGGUACAAUGGGCAGCAAUACCGUGAGGUGGAGCGAAUCCCAAAAAGCCGGCCUCAGUUCGGAUUGGAGUCUGCAACUCGACUCCAUGAAGUCGGAAUCGCUAGUAAUCGCGUAUCAGCAU
rnacentral:rRNA from 1 species